UACAACUUGCAGCUGCUGUGCCCCGACGGUGAGCUCUCUGUACAACUUGCAGCUGCUGUGCCCCGACGGUGAGCUCUCUGUGCAACCAGGUCGGCUCGCAAGCGUCCGGCUCGCGUGAUGGUUAGCGCUUACUGUAGCCUACCCUACCCCCUAUAUCCCAAGAGGCUCUGGUCACCUUACCACAGGAACGCAACACUGCUUGAAAGCAUUAUUAUUUAGCUGUGAUCUUUCGUAAGUUCGAAUUACUUCCUUAGUCGGGUAUGAGAAGGUGUACUUUUUUAUACCAUUAUUCUUACUUUUAACCUUUUAAACGCCACGCCUCAAAUCCAUUCCCGUGCCCUGUACGCCAAGGCAUAAAAUAAACAAAAAUACCUACGAAGAAAAUAGUGUUGCCAAGAGUCAUUAUCGAGUACCAAGCAGUGACUUGUUUUUUUAGUUUUUAUGCAAUAAAUGACUACUU